rnacentral:rRNA from 1 species
GUACACGCUGUGACUAGCAUAUCAAUAAGCGGAGGAAAAGAAACUAACAAGGAUUCCCCUAGUAACGGCGAGUGAAGCGGGAAGAGCUCAAAUUUGAAUCUUAAAGGGUUUCCCUUUACGAAUUGUAGUUUAAAGAAGUGUUUUCUGUUGAGGUUUUGGUAAAAGUUCUUUGGAAUAGGACAUCAUAGAGGGUGAGAAUCCCGUAUUUGACCUUUACUUUCAACUUUGUGAUACACUUUCAAAGAGUCGGAUUGUUUGGGAAUGUAGUCCAAAAUGGGUGGUAAAUUUCAUCUAAAGCUAAAUAUUGGCGAGAGACCGAUAGCGAACAAGUACCGUGAGGGAAAGAUGAAAAGAACUUUGAAAAGAGAGUUAGACAGUACGUGAAAUUGUCAAAAGGGAAGCGUUUGACACCAGUGUUGUUUUUCUGAAAAUCAAUUAAAGAACUGUUUAUGCUAAGCUGUUUAGACUUUAUCAGCUAUCUGUUUAGUUUUGAGCUUUUCUUUAAUGCACUUUUCAGUUAACAAGUCAACAUCAAUUUCUUUUGCUGUAAAAAAGCUUGAGGAAGGUGGCUUGAGAUUCGUCUUAAGUGUUUAUAGCCUCUUGCCUAUGCAGUCGGAGAGAUUGAGGUCUGCAGCGUAGAUCCUUCGGGGCUAAAUGCAUUUGUGCUAAGUUAUAGCAUUUUAUAGACAACUUGUUGACUAUGAUUUGUCUUGUAGCUUACUCGCUUAUGUUAUUUUACCUACGCUUAGGAUGUUGAGUCGUAGAGCACGCAG